GACUGAAAGGGGAACUAUGAUCCCCGGCGAGGUCCGCGGCCCAAUAAUUUCUGCCCGGGAGAUGCCCUCCGGACUCUGCUUCCCAUUCCGUUCAUUACUGGAUUCUGAGGCAGCGAUAUACUUCGUCCUCUGCAGCGGAGGCGACACAGCCGCUCGAUCUCCACAAAGAGGAUCGUAGAUGAAGGUGGCUAUUGACGUACUGCAACAUCCAAAGAAAAAGGUAGUACGAUCAUAUGGGAUUCUUGAAUAGUUUCCUCCUUGCCAAAGAAUCGAGUGUAUGGCGUAAGGGCGACCCUUAUCGGCGACCCUCCCCAGAGCUAUGUUGCUCUCUCCCUCGGCAUUGCUAGAGGGGGAGGAGAUGCCGGUCUUCGUCAGCCUUCUUUCAGACGGCAAAAUUUUAUCACCAAGAAGGCUAAGUGAUGUGGUUGUUGCAGUGCAUGCCAACUCCUCCCCUGCUGACAUCUUUGUGCAUGCAAGCAAUUCAAAGAUUCUUUGUUGGCCUGGAGAUACCUACGUUGACCUACCAUAAGUUGACAAGCCAUUGAGAAUAUUGAUCUUCCCUCUGUGGCUUGGAGCAAAUAGGUAGAGUGAAGGUUCUCUUUUGAGAAUAUACCAAAAGAACUUAUGGAAGAAGUAUCAACAACAGCAAUAAGAACUUUCUGCUCUUCAGGUAGAUUCACAUGGAUUGACUGAAAUAAAAAAGGCCAGUUGGAUGUAUCCGUGUGAUUAUACUUCUCUAUGAGCCAGGUAACAACAGAGUGUUGCUCAGUAUCGGUCUUCACCUCUGGAUUGUGGCGCCAUAAGAAGAAUUCAGCAGCAACUCUCAUCUUGAGAACACAAUUUUAGUGUCUGUAUUUGUUUGACUUGUGGCCUCCUUGCUUUGUCUUCAAAAUGUACAUGUAACUAAUGGUAUGUUAUAUGGCUUGCAUGCACUGUAUGAUAUAUGUGAAAUAUCAUUGCACGUUACUUAGAGAAGGCAGAAAUAAAUGCUGAAGAUCAUAGGAA